AUUAUGUAUAUUUCCUCUGCUUGACCAGCUUUUGUGUAUUCCCACAUGUGAGAUUUUAUGACAAUCUAUUCUUACACUAACGAGCAAUUUCUUUUUAGAUAAGCUUAGUGUAGCAGUUGAUAUUUUGGAAAUUGCGUGUUAACGAAAGGCGGCUUUAAAGUGAUUUAUUAACUGUUUGAUAGCGUCAUUAUCAAAAAAAUUAUGCAUCUUCGUUGAUUUG